UAACCUAAUGGUACCAGGACAGGUUGGAUAACUACUGGACUAACCUUAUGUUACCAGGACAGGUUGGAUAACUACUGGACUAACCUUAUAUUACCAGGACAGGUUGGAUAACUACUGGACUAACCUUAUGUUACCAGGACAGGUUGGAUAACUACUGGACUAACCUAAUGGUACCAGGACAGGUUGGAUAACUACUGGACUAACCUAAUGCUACCAGGACAGGUUGGAUAACUACUGGACUAACCUUAUGUUACCAGGACAGGUUGGAUGACUACUGGACUAACCUAAUGU